UCAGUUCUUAUAAUUUUGAUCUUCGCAAAAAAUUGAGUUUCUACAACACCAUAAAAUGAUAGAAGUAAAGGCUGAGUUUCUGAUUUAUUCCUCGUUGAGAACACCCAAGUAUGUAUGUCUAGAAUGCUCAAAACCCCCAUAACAUAUUCAUUCAUUCAUUCAAAGCCAAUACAUUAUAAGAGUCCAUUAACAGAAAAAAUUAUAGUCCUCUAAACACUCAAAACAACAUAUGAAUCCGGAUUAUGAUAAUAAUGACACUAAGUAAUUAUAGAUAAACAGAAUAGCCCCAGCAAUCAUUAAUCAACCAGGCUCAGAGGAACUCCAAGCUAAAAAUCUAAUCUUCAUACUCCUGGUAUUGCCUGAGAAGCUCAGCGCAACCAGACAUGGCCUCCUCCUUCAUGAAACCCAUAGCAUUGGCGAAACGUUUGUUUGAUGCAAUGCCAUUGUAACUGGUCAAGAUAACACGUGCACGAUCACGCCCUGAUGAUGGUGAUUUGCAGUCCUUGAUGGGGCUGCUAACUAGCAUAGCAUCGCACAGCUGAUCCUGAUGAUCCUCAUCAACAUAGAUUUUAUAUGUUCCUGUUGAAUCGGUUGUUCCUUCCUUGCUGUAUACAAGAUCCAUUGUCUUCCUGUUCUUGCAUUCCACUCUAACCUUAGCACCUAUUCCAGACAUCACAAUAUGCAAAUGAUGUUAAUAAUUUAUGCCUUCUGCAAGUUAGAGCUGAACAGCGUAAAAGAAUACAUAUUUCCUACCCAAUUAGCUUCUGUUUAAAACAGUGUUUGAUUCAAUUCAAUCACAAGUUUGGAAUUCAUUUCAAAUGAAUUCUAGCUCACUGAAAAUGAAUUUCACUAUUUAGUAUGACCGUAGAAUUCAAUUGAAUUCCAUAUAAUUCAUGUUAAAUAUAAUUUAAUAAUCGAAAUUCAUAUGUACUCAUUUCCAAAACUACCUUCAUGAGUAGAAUUAAAAAACUAGAAUUUUCUACUCUAUCAAAAAAUUUUAUAACUAAUAAAUUUAUAACAAUUAAUAAACAUAUAAACCAAUUAACAAUAUAUUUAUGAAUAUAAAAUAAAUUUCAACCAUCUCAUGAUGUAAGCGAUUUAUAUAACAUCGUAUGCUAAGUGCAGAUUCUUAUCAGACUAUUUUUUAAUUAUUUAAUUAAUUAAUGAUAUUUGGUGGGUGUAGCAAUUCUUAUUGACCACAAUGGUAGGCAAAGUUUCAUACUUGAUGAAUGUUAGGCAGCGGGAAUGUAAGAAAAGAGAUGAAUGACAGUGAAUUUAUUGUUAUGGGCAUCUUAGUCCAAAAAAUAUUGUUAAAUAAUUUUUUUGAAUUCACUUUAAAUUUCAUCAAAUUCGAUACAAAUUAGUUUUAACAAUUCCACAGAACUGAUUUCCUAGAAUUGAAAUCUAAUUUUUCUUCAAACCAAACACACAAAAUAUGCAAUUCAAUUGAAUUCCACAAAAAAAGUUUGUGGAAUUGAAUCGAACCAAACAUGCUGCCUUAGUUAUUGUAAAUGUUAUGGUACUUUGAGCAUAUUUUAGAAAAUGUUAUGGAAACACAUAACUGAUUAUUCUGAAGCACGCAAGAAAUCCUAAUUGUUUAAUUAUUUAACCAGAUCUACGAAAUUAGCAGUCAAGCUCACCUCAUUAAACCCACAUUUUGCACCUAAACCUUAGACUAAGGGAGAAACAUAAAAUAAUUAAAAGAGAAAAAUCUCACACACACAGACUGACAGAUAUCAUCAAUUAAAGCAAAGGAAUAGUAGAUGAAAUUUCGUUUCAACUUCACUGUCGAAGAAAAUAUAUGUAAGCAGAUCUAACAAUCAACCUGCGGAUGUAGAGACGUAAAAGCACAAAUCCAUGAAAAUGAAAGAGAGAAGCAGAAAGAGAAGGGUUUAUACCAGCUAUGUACGUGGUUUUGGAGGUCUCGAAACCAGCACGGCAAGUGUCACAGUACACACGGCCCUCCAACUCAAAUGGGUUUCUGGCAGGGCGAGCGGCGCUCACAAGUGCCGGAAGAGCGCAGAGGGCGAGCAACAACAGUGAUCGAGCCAUUGGGAUUUUGGUAUCAGAGAAUUACAGAGACUUGUGCUAGAUAAAUAGAGGGGGAGAUGGAGAUUGAAACAAAAUGGAGCAAAGGAAAUGGGAAAUGAUGAAACUGAUAGGGAAAUAGUAGGAGAAGAUAGGAGUGAAGCAAUAGGAAGUUAAGGCAAAAAUAAAGCUAAAGCGGUGAUAGCGCGUGGAGAAAUGUUCAGGUGAAGGUGUAUCUACGCGGUCUUGAAACUAGUACAUUGAACUAAAUACUGCUAAUUCUGCGUGGCGCAUUAUGGUUGGAGGACCAGUAGAAAAGUAGAAGUGGGGGAUGGGAACUAGUGUAGGAGAAAGAACACUGUACUAAUUGAUUAUAGCUGGAGAUGUCGGUGCUCACAUGGAUUGCUUAGGAAUUGCGAUUAGCGGAUUAGGAAAGUAAAGAGUGGAUCAGCUGUAAUCCAGCCUAUGUUUCUAUAUGCUGUCAUCACUCACCUGUCAUGUGCGAU
rnacentral:misc_RNA from 1 species